rnacentral:rRNA from 1 species
AUCGAACGCUGGCGGCAGGCCUAACACAUGCAAGUCGAACGAGUGGCGGACGGGUGAGUAAUGUCCGGGAAACUGCCUGAUGGAGGGGGAUAACUACUGGAAACGGUAGCUAAUACCGCAUACCAUCGGAUGUGCCCAGAUGGGAUUAGCUAGUGGGUGGGGUAAGGGCUCACCUAGGCGACGAUCCCUAGCUGGUCUGAGAGGAUGACCGGCCACACUGGAACUUGAACGCGGUCCGGACUCCUACGGGAGGCAGCAGUGGGGAAUAUUACACAGUGGGCGCAAGCCUGAUGCAGCCAUGCCGCGUGUAUGAAGAAGGCCUUCGGGUUGUAAAGUACUUUCAGCGGGGAGGCGUUACCCGCAGAAGAAGCACCGGCUAACUCCGUGCCAGCAGCCGCGGUAAUAC